rnacentral:RNase_P_RNA from 1 species
UUUGCAAGAGGAAAGUCCGGACACUAUAGAGCAGGGUGCUAGAUAACGUCUAGUGGAAGUGAUUCUAAGGAAAGUGCAACAGAAAAUUACCGCUAUGUAAAUAGUAAGGGUGAAAACGCGAGGUAAGAGCUCACGAGCAACUAUGGAGACUUAGUUGCGGUGUAAACCCCACCUAGUGCAACGCCAGAAUAAAACGUUAAGGUUGCUCGCUAAGUUUUGAGUUGGCGGCUUGAAAUAUAUAGCAAUAUAUAUUCUAGAUAAAUGAUCAUUAAAUACAGAAUCCGGCUUACGG